rnacentral:rRNA from 1 species
UACAGAGGUCCCAAGCGUUGUUCGGAUUCACUGGGCGUAAAGGGUGCGUAGGCGGUCGGGUAAGUCUGAUGUGAAAUCUCACAGCUUAACUGUGAAACUGCAUUGGAUACUAUCCGGCUAGAGGAAUGGAGGGGAGACUGGAAUACUUGGUGUAGCAGUGAAAUGCGCAGAUAUCAGGAGGAACACCAAUGGCGAAGGCAGCUCGCUGGGACGGUACUGACGCUGAGGAGCGAAAGCGUGGGGAGCGAACAGG